CGGGUGAGUAACACGUAUCCAACCUGCUGUCUACUCUUGGCCAGCCUUCUGAAAGGAAGAUUAAUCCAGGAUGGGAUCAUGAGUUCACAUGUCCGCAUGAUUAAAGGUAUUUUCCGGUAGACGAUGGGGAUGCGUUCCAUUAGAUAGUAGGCGGGGUAACGGCCCGCCUAGUCAACGAUGGAUAGGGGUUCUGAGAGGAAGGUCCCCCACAUUGGAACUGAGACACGGUCCAA
rnacentral:rRNA from 1 species